CAUCGGCGAGCGCCGGGUCGGUGACCGCGGCGUCGCGCGCCGCGAGCGCCUGUGGGCCGGGCGCCCAGGCGCUCAGGCGCUUGCCGUCGA
rnacentral:tRNA from 1 species